AUGUACAGAUGUUUAUAUCUAUA
rnacentral:siRNA from 1 species